rnacentral:rRNA from 1 species
AUGAGAUUGAUGUUCUUAAAAUAUGUAUUCUCAAUAAUGGUACAAAAUACAUGUCUGUGCUCCCAUGGAUCCAGGAAGUAUAAGAUGAACUCGAUAAUCUCCAAUUGGUUUCUUUAUUGCUGUCCAGGUCCUCAUGAGCGGGUAAUCUUUCUACAACGAGUAGAUGGGGGUACAUGGUUUGGGUUGCUCUACAGAACUGAAAUAGUUUUCUAA